rnacentral:rRNA from 1 species
UACGAAGGGGGCUAGCGUUGUUCGGAAUUACUGGGCGUAAAGCGUGCGCAGGCGGCUUCUCAAGUCAGGGGUGAAAGCCCAGAGCUCAACUCUGGAAUUGCCUUUGAGACUGAGAGGCUUGAGUACGAGAGAGGUGAGUGGAAUUCCCAGUGUAGAGGUGAAAUUCGUAGAUAUUGGGAAGAACACCCGUGGCGAAGGCGGUUCUCUGGGACGGUACUGACGCUGAGACGCGAAAGCGUGGGGAGCGAACAGG